rnacentral:tRNA from 1 species
CGGGACGUAGCACAGCUUGGUAGUGCGCUUGGUUCGGGACCAAGAGGUCGUGGGUUCGAAUCCCACCGUUCCGACCA